rnacentral:ncRNA from 1 species
UAAUUUGAGAGUUUGAUCCUGGCUCAGGAUGAACGCUGGCGGCGUGCUUAACACAUGCAAGUCGAACGGAGUUAAAAGUAGAAGUUUUCGGAUGGAAGCUUUUAACUUAGUG